rnacentral:sRNA from 1 species
UGGGGUGACCCACAUGUUUCCAUCAUUAAUUAAACAAAUAAUGUUGAACCUACACCAUGUGUCAGACACUGAGGAUGCAAUAGUAGCAAGAGAGAUAAGGAUGGAGGAUGGAUAACAGAAUGGACACAUGGAUAGGAUGGAGGAUGAAUGGAAGGAUGGAUGAGGGAAGGAUGGACUGGAUGGAUGGAUGGGAGAAAAAAAUGAAUGAAAGGAUUAGUGAAUUGAUGGAUGAAUAGGGAAGAAGAAAUGAGAGAUGGAUAGACAGAUGAAUGGAUGGAUGAAUGGAAUGGGGUAGAAGAAUGAGAGAUAGAGGGAUGGGAUUGAGGAUGGAUGAUGGAUGCAUGGAUGGAUGGCGGGAUGGGGUGGAAAAAAGGAUAAGGGAUGGAUGGAUGGAUGGAUGGACAGACAGAUGGACGGGAUGGGGUAGAAGAAAGGACAAGAGAUGAUGGAGAGGUAUAAAUAGAAGGAUGAGGAAAGAUGGAGGAACUAAAGGAAGGGUGGGGAGAAAGAUGGGAGAGAAAUAACAGGAUAAGGGAAAGAUAGAGAACAAUGCAGAUGGAAGACUGCAUGGAUUGAUGAGUGGAUAUAUAGAAAGGUAGACAGAAGGAGAGAUGGAAGGUGGACCUUUACACAAUGAGGGAUGGAUAGACAGAACUCGGGUACAGCGGAAACAUCUCCCCAGUAAAGGCCCACGAACCCUCUGGUCAGAGCAGGCCUUUCCUUCCAACCCCGGGCAGGUGGGCAUCGUUGGCAGGACCGGGGCCGGGAAGUCCUCCCUGGCCAGUGGGCUGCUGCGGCUCCAGGAGGCAGCUGAGGGUGGGAUCUGGAUCGACGGGGUCCCCAUUGCCCACGUGGGGCUGCACACACUGCGCUCCAGGAUCAGCAUCAUUCCCCAGGUGAGGCUGGUGGACGGGGUGGGCAAAGAUGGGAGGCAUGGUGGGACCCGGCUCUGACCUGCCCCUCCCCGCCAGGACCCCAUCCUGUUCCCUGGCUCUCUGCGGAUGAACCUCGACCUGCUGCAGGAGCACUCAGACGAGGCUAUCUGGGCAGCCCUGGAGACGGUGCAGCUCAAAGCCUUGGUGGCCAGCCUGCCCGGCCAGCUGCAGUACAAGUGUGCAGACCGAGGCGAGGACCUGAGCGUGGGCCAGAAACAGCUCCUGUGUCUGGCACGUGCCCUUCUCCGGAAGACCCAGAUCCUCAUCCUGGACGAGGCUACGGCGGCCGUGGACCCUGGCACGGAGCUGCAGAUGCAAGCCACGCUCGGGAGCUGGUUUGCACAGUGCACUGUGCUGCUUAUCGCCCACCGCCUGCGCUCUGUGACGGACUGUGCCCGAGUUCUGGUCAUGGACAAGGGGCAGGUGGCAGAGAGCGGCAGCCCGGCCCAGCUGCUGGCACAGAAGGGCCUGUUUUACAGGCUGGCCCAGGAGUCAGGCCUGGUCUGAGCCAGGACCCUCAACUGUACCCCCGUCGGACCAGCCCGCUGAGCCUGCAGUGCUGGAGAUGGAAGUGACCCGCGAUCAUCGAUAGCUCCACACGAUGUUGAGUCUAGACCCAUGUUUGCUCUCUGGGAGGAAAACGGCAGAGAAAGUGGCCGAUUAUCACAGAGCAUCAGAGCCGGAAGGACCUAGCAAUACACAGGUCUGCCCGGGCAGGGCCCAUCUCGCCCUGUCCAACCCGCAGCCAAUGUCGACCGUGACUGUCAGCCCCGCUGUACCCUGGACUCACCUGGGGGACUCAAGCGCAUGCCCGGGCUCCCCACUAGACCCUUAAAUCAGAAUCCCUGGGGCUGGGAACUGCCAUGCUGUGUGUACUUUUUUUUUUUACAAAUUAACACUUCUAUUUUGGGAUAAUCCCAGACUCACACGCAGUUAAAGAAACAAUAAUAUGGAGAGAUCCGUGUACUCGCUACCCCAUUUCUCCCAAUGGUAACAUCUUGUAAAACUCUACUACAGAGCAUCACAGCCAGGGUACUGACAUCCACACAACA